GGAGAGAAGAAAGAUGAACUUCAGUAAAUAACCCAUUAAUUAAUCACUGGUGCUGAUGAUGGCUCAAAAUUGAAGGAACAGUAUGAGAAAGUGGCAUCCCCAGCAGUGAAUGCAGCCUUUAUUUAACCAUUUGCUCAGGCUGAAAUCUCAAGAUCUGGGAGAAGGCUCAGUCAGUAAAGGUGCUUGUCGUCAAGUCCCAGGACCUGCAUUUGAUCUUUGUGAUCCACAGAGAAGAGAGGCACAAGCUGUCUUCUGACAAUCAUAUUGAUGCUGGGACACAUCCGGGCUAAAACCUCAUUUCCAGGCACGAGACCAGAUAAUGAUGCUGUCCACUUUCAGGCUGAGUCCUUCCCAUGUCAACCAAGGAAAUCAAGACAAUCCAUCACAGACUACCCAGAAGCCAACAUGGUCUAGACUCUCCCUCACUGAGACUCUGCCCAGGGUCUCAGAUGCUUUGCACUUUCCGGUAGAAACCUGGUGUGCUCAACCCAUCUGUCCACGGAUUUCUCUUUCAACACGUAAGCCACAGUGACAGGGUGUAGCCUUCUGACUCCAACUCUUAUGAGAAUAAAGACUAAAGAUUCACAACAAAA